AAAGCUGAACAUAUUCCGAUAGUUGCACCAGUCCCUCCUUGUUCCCCUGCGUGCAGACAGCACGCUGUGCGUUCUUACUGGGACUGCACUUGCAAUGCCAUCACUCAGCCUCUCCUUCAGAGACCAGCUGGUGAAAAACAAAAUCGGCAAAACAUUGUAUCAAGCCCAAUACUACAGCAUAUAAAUCGCCUCUGUGCACUGCAUUUGAACAACAUGAAGUGCUUACAACUGUUGCUGUUUGAUAUUUUCUGCCAGUAAAAUGUUUAUCUGUUUGUAAUGCAUUUAAAUGUCUCUGCCUUUGCUGAGAUCAAGCAGACAUUCUAAACUGGGUAAACAAGAAAAAUAUGAAUUGUCAAUGAAUCAAGUUGGAGACAUUUCAAGCAAAUCUCUGAGAGAAUCAAUAUUAUGUCAAGGUUUAUUCCAUAUCUUCAUUAAUGAUCCAGAAAUACAGCGAGCAUCAGAGAAGACUGACAUAUAAAACAAAGGCAUUGAGAAGGUGUGAUUAACAUUUAAACACAAUAGUUGUUGCCAUAAGAAWUAUGUCAAGUUGCUGGAUGAUCCUCACCAGUUUUUCUGAUAGAGCUCUUCCUUAUGGAGCAAAAGAUGCUGGAGCACUUCAUUUCCUUGAGAAGAACUGCUGUGCCCGGAAACCCAAACAACGAGGCUGCGCCACAGAAACUGUCUCAUG
rnacentral:lncRNA from 1 species